rnacentral:rRNA from 1 species
AGCCUGAUGGAGCAACGCCGCGUGAGUGAAGAAGGUUUUCGGAUCGUAAACUCUGUUGUAAGGGAAGAACAAGUACAGUAGUAACUGGCUGUACCUUGACGGUACCUUAUUAGAAAGCCACGGCUAACUACGUGCCAGCAGCCGCGGUAAUACGUAGGUGGCAAGCGUUGUCCGGAAUUAUUGGGCGUAAAGCGCGCGCAGGCGGUCCUUUAAGUCUGAUGUGAAAGCCCACGGCUCAACCGUGGAGGGUCAUUGGAAACUGGGGGACUUGAGUGCAGAAGAGGAAAGUGGAAUUCCAAGUGUAGCGGUGAAAUGCGUAGAGAUUUGGAGGAACACCAGUGGCGAAGGCGACUUUCUGGUCUGUAACUGACGCUGAGGCGCGAAAGCGUGGGGAGCAAACAGGAUUAGAUACCCC